UACGUAGGGUGCGAGCGUUGUCCGGAAUUUUUGGGCGUAAAGGGCUCGUAGGCGGUCUGUUCCGUCAGGAGUGAAAACUCGGGGCUCAACCCCGAGCCUGCUUCUGAUACGGGCAGACUGGAGGUAUGCAGGGGAGAACGGAAUUCCUGGUGUAGCGGUGAAAUGCGCAGAUAUCAGGAAGAACGCCCGUGGCGAAGGCGGCUCUCUGGGACGGUACUGACGCUGAGACGCGAAAGCGUGGGGAGCGAACAGG
rnacentral:rRNA from 1 species